rnacentral:rRNA from 1 species
AGUGAACGCUGGCGGUUGGCCUAACACAUGCAAGUCGAACGGCAGCACAGUAAGAGCUUGCUCUUACGGGUGGCGAGUGGCGGACGGGUGAGGAAUACAUCGGAAUCUACUUUUUCGUGGGGGAUAACGUAGGGAAACUUACGCUAAUACCGCAUACGACCUACGGGUGAAAGCAGGGGAUCUUCGGACCUUGCGCGAUUGAAUGAGCCGAUGUCGGGUUAGCUAGUUGGCGGGGUAAAGGCCCACCAAGGCGACGAUCCGUAGCUGGUCUGAGAGGAUGAUCAGCCACACUGGAACUGAGACACGGUCCAGACUCCUACGGGAGGCAGCAGUGGGGAAUAUUGGACAAUGGGCGCAAGCCUGAUCCAGCCAUACCGCGUGGGUGAAGAAGGCCUUCGGGUUGUAAAGCCCUUUUGUUGGGAAAGAAAAGCAGCAGGUUAAUACCCCGCUGUUCUGACGGUACCCAAAGAAUAAGCACCGGCUAACUUCGUG